CAUGUUAUCGAUGCAUCAUCGUAAUUUUAAUUAGCUGGUUUUGCAUUGAAGUUGACAUGAAAUUUCAGGUCAAAUUCUGGGAAAUGGGGUUCUGCUUAAAGUGCCACAUCUUGCUUCCAUCACUAUUAAGAAUGAUAAACAAACGCGUACUUAUGGAAAAUUUGUAAUUUUCUGCAACUUCGAGCAACCUUCAUAUCAUCGAAUAGUACUCUAAACACGCUUUGUUCUUUGUUUUGUCUCUAUCCACGUGGUCUCGCUCUCUCACCCUCUCGAGAAAUACUGUGAUUUUUUUAGUACUUUUCAAUCAGGACGCGUUUGAUUAGUCAUCUAUCUGAAAUUCCAAUGCCUGAGAAUCCUGAAAAUAUUUGUUCUUUUCUCUCUUUCCUUAAAAAAAUGAGACAAAAAAAACGCAGACAGUCAUCGAUCAAACCAAACAUAAAAGUCGAGCAACUUUGGUGCUACCUAAAGUAAUAAUAUCUUAAUACAAAUCUUGGGUUCUUGCUAGUUUAGAGCGUGAGUUAAGUAAGAGCAGCUCCAGCGGGAGCUCGUGCUCGAGGGACAGGCUGCGGAACAGGGCUUGAUUGCCCGAGGGAGGAAGCCGAAUGUUGGCUGGCGAGCGAGCCCGAGCAGUCCCGAGAGAGGCCUGUGGAUUCGUACCGGCCCGAACACCCGUUUUUCAGUUGGAUUGGAUUUGAAAAUUUGGGUUUUUGAUUUUGAUAUGCAAAAAGCAAGAGAUCGAAGAAGAAAGAUAAACAAGCGCAGAUUUUAUUUGAUUUGGGAUAUUAAAAUAUCUGCACCUGCUAUUAAUGGGAAGGUGAUGGAGGGAUGAUAUAUAGUGGUCACCGAUAUUGAUACACGACACCGACAGGCAUAUACGCGUGAACGCGUUAAUCGUUAUUUUUUUCUUAUUUUAUAAAUAAAAAAAAGUUAAUAUUCUGUUUAGGACGGAGAUGAAAAGACAAUUACUGAUUAUGAUUAAGUAAAGUAUUAUUUACUGAUGGAUUAAAUAGUGAAUACGCUGGGACCUUUCCACGGUGGAACUGCUCGAAUCUUUGCCUGACCUUCAAGGUUUGGCGUGUUUAUGGUCUGUACGAAGAACCUUCUGCAAUCAAAAGGUCAAUCCAAGAUUGUAUAUUUAGAUACAAAUCUUGGGUUCUUGCUAGCUGCUGUUCGAAAUCUUGUGUACUUUUCAGAUACUAAACUAUAUUAAAAUAGCUGCUAGCUGCUAGCUGCUGUUUUCGGGCGGGUUUUUGAUGGUGCUCAAGAGGCAUUUUCGUGACGACGAGGGAAGCGAGGACGUCGAGUUUCCGGUUCCAGAAUCCAAAAGGAGGCCUAAUUUUAGGGAGUGGGUGGUUUAGUUUGAGUGAAAGUUUGGUGCUUUUUGGUUGAUUGAAUUCGUAUUUUUGACUUCUGGGUUUUUGUGAUGCUUGUUGUGCAGUGUUGUUAGGGAUGUGAUGAGAGACGCCACGCUGAAUGAACGCGAGUCGGAACGCUUUCGGAGAAUUGUAAGUUCAAAUCUCCGUUCUUGUCUACACGAAUGAAUCUGAGCUCAAGCUUGAGGCUUAAGAAAUCAUUCCGUCGUAGUUUUCGUGUAUAAUUCGGCAGUAACAUAGAAGUUUAAGGUUUGAUUUUGCUUUGUUUCCUCGAUUUUAAUGGCUUCGAAUAAGAAGACGGGUUGAGUAGCUGCUAACAUGUUUGACUGUUUAAAUGCUGUUUUUUAACAUUUAGAACUUGAAUUUGUUCGAAAUCUUUUCCUGGUGAGGUCUCUUGAGUUCAUUGUUGAUGUAUCUUUGUCGCGUGUAGGUGCGAGAGGAGGUGGAGCGCGGUAUUCUUCCCUUCCUCAUGUCAUCUCCAAGGUUAGCUUUUCGAUCAAAUGUUUGUUUUCUAUAAAAUAACGAAGGUCUUAUAAUUUUUUCUUAAUCACAAAGCUUCCAAUUGCUGAUAUAAUCUACAUGAUAAACACGCAGUGUAUCCAGGCCGCCGCUGGAAAGUGGGAGUGCUUCUGGAGGAUGUGGCUUGCAGUUGCGUUUUAUCAACAAGCUGCCAAGUACCAUAUUCACAGGCAGUAAGGUGGAAGCAGAGAAUGGCACGCCUCUUCAAAUUGAACUAGUCGAUGCCAGUACCGGUGCUAUAGUCCGUUCCGGUCCCCUAUCUUCGCUAAAGAUUGAACUUCUUGUCGUGAAUGGUGAGUUCGGGUCUGAUGAUCAAGAGGAUUGGACCGAACAAGAAUUCAACAACUACAUUGUUCGCGCAAGGGAUGGCAGGAGGCCAUUAGUGACGGGCGAGACACAUGUUACACUAAGAGAGGGAGUUGGUUUUGUUGGUGAUGUUGUGUUUACUGACAACUCAAGCUGGACAAGAAGCCGAAAGUUCAGACUAGCAGCUCGAGUUGUGGCCAAAUCUCCGAGUGAAGUACGAAUUAGAGAAGCUAGAAGUGAACCGUUUGUGGUUAAAGAUCACCGUGGAGAAUGUAAAGGUCGUAUCAAGUGCACAAGACUCCCGCUUUACGCAGGGUCUAGGAGAGGUGAAUGUCGGCUAGCCUUACCCCCAUUUAAGUUCACAAAAACUUAACUCUCCACUCUUUGAUCUUUACUAAAAUAUAGACAAUUUUGGCAUUGAACUAAACGAAACUGACCUAGAAAAUGUUGAUUCAGUGUAUAAGAAGCACUACCCUCCACACCUAAACGAUGAAAUAUGGCGCCUGGAAAUGAUAGCAAAAGACGGAGCCUUCCAUAAGAGUCUGUGCGAGAAUGGAAUCAGCACAGUGGAGGACUUCCUGCAGUUGUACAUGAGAGAUGCAUCCUUGCUACGAAAUGUAAGAGAAUCAUUUGUUCUCCUGCGCAGUGUGCCUACUGUAGUUUAUGCCCGUCGUUUAAUCUAUAUCUAAUUUCUGCUGCGAAAAUGUAGGCUUUCGGUGUGAUCUCGAACAAGAUAUGGGAAACAAUCAUAAAGCAUGCUAUGGCCUGUAAGUUGGAUGACCAUAAGCGCUAUGCCUAUCAUCGAGCUGAGCACGAUGUAAGUCUCAUGUUCAAUUCCGUUCACAGGCUUGUAGGGGCAAUAAUCAAUGGCCAGUUCUGUUCUCUGGAUGAACUCGACGCGCAUCAGAAGGUACGCCUACCAUGUAUUUUCGAGCUCCUUUGCAUUUUCUAAUCUCCCACGCGCAUUAUUGAUCUGCCUUCAUUUUUCGGUUGCUAUAAGUUGGUUCCGAAGACAAAGAAUUGUUGCAUGAUUGAUGGAGCAAACUUUAAAAUAUUCCUUGGGGGUAAAGAAACUGAUGAGCUCCCUGGUUAUGUUUGCAGAUGCUGGUGGAAACUCUGAAACAGCAUGCUUAUCGAAAUGUAAGAGAUUUGGUCCCCAUCGAUGUUUCGACUAUAUUUGGCCUUUCGAGGCCCUUGCCAUGUCCCCAAGCUGAACAAUUCAAAAAUCAAUUAGCAAUAAGAGGGAGAGACCCCACGCUGAAUGAACGCGAGUCGGAACGCUUCUUUCGGAGAAUUGUAAGUUCAAAUCUCCGUUCUUGUCUACACGAAUGAAUCUGAGCUCAAGCUUGAGGCUUAAGAAAUCAUUCCGUCGUAGUUUUCGUGUAUAAUUCUGCAGAAACAUAGACUUUUAAAGUUUGAUUUUCCUUUGUUUCCUCGAUUUUAAUGACUUCGAUUAAGAAGACGGGUUGAGUAGCUGCUAACAUGAAAACUAGGAUUGACUGUUAGGUUUGGUUUCAUUAGCCCUCUUGUAAUAGAAAACAAGAACACAUGUUUGACUGUUUAAACGCUGUUUUUUAACAUUUAGAACUUGAAUUUGUUCGAAAUCUUUUCCUGGUGAGGUCUCUUGAGUUCAUUGUUCAUGUAUCUUUGUCGCGUGUAGAUGCGAGAGGAGGUGGAGCGCGGUAUUCUUCCCUUCCUCAUGUCAUCUCCAAGGUUAGCUUUUCGAUCAAAUGUUUGUUUUCUAUAAAAUAACGAAGGUCUUAUAAUUUUUUCUUAGUCACAAAGCUUCCAGUUGCUGAUAUAAUCUACAUAAAAAACACGCAGCGUAUCCAGGCCGCCGCUGGAAAGUGGGAGUGCUUCUGGAGGAUGUGGCUUGCAGUUGCGUUUUAUCAACAAGCUGCCAAGUACCAUAUUCACAGGCAGUAAGGUGGAAGCAGAGAAUGGCACGCCUCUUCAAAUUGAACUUGUCGAUGCCAGUACUGGUGCUAUAGUCCGUUCCGGUCCCCUAUCUUCGCUAAAGAUUGAACUUCUUGUCGUGAAUGGUGAGUUCGGGUCUGAUGAUCAAGAUGAUUGGACCGAACGAGAAUUCAGCACCUACAUUGUUCGCGCAAGGGAUGGCAACAUGCCAUCAGUGACGGGUGAGAUACAUGUUACACUAAGAGAGGGAGUUGGUUUUGUCGGUGAUGUUGUGUUUACUGACAACUCGGGCUGGAUAAGAAGCCAAACGUUCAGACUAGCAGCUCGAGUUGUGGCCAAAUCUUCGAGUGAAGUACGAAUUAGAGAAGCUAGAAGUGAACCGUUUGUGGUUGGAGAAUGUAAGUUCACAAAAACUUAACUCACUACUCUUUGAUCUUUACUAAAAUAUAGACAAUUUUGGCAUUGAACUAAACGAAACUGACCUAGAAAAUGUUGAUUCAGUUUAUAAGAAGCACUAUCUACACCUAAACGAUGAAAUAUGGUGCCUGCAAAAGAUAGCAAAAGACGGAGCCUUCCAUAAGAGACUCUGCGAGAAUGGAAUCAGCACAGUCGAGGACUUCCUGCAGUUGUACAUGAGAGAUGCAUCCUUGCUACGAAAUGUAAGAGAAUCAUUUGUUCUGCUACGCAGUGUGCCUACGGUAGUUUAUGCCCGUCGUUUAAUCUAUAUCUAUCUAAUUUUCUGCUGCGAAAAUGUAGGCUUUCGGUGUGAUCUCGAACAAGUUAUGGGAAACAAUCAUAGAGCAUGCUAUGACCUGUAAGUUGGAUGACCAUAGGUUCUAUGCCUUCCAUGGAGCUGAGGGGGAUGUAAGUCUCAUUUUCAAUUCCAUCCACAGGCUUGUAGCGGCAAUAAUCAAUGGCCAGUUCUGUUUUCUGCAUGAACUCCACGUGCAUCAGAUGGUACGCGUAUUAUGCAUUUUCAAACUCCUUUGCAUUUUCUAAUCUCCCACGCGUAUUCUUGAUCUGCCUUCAUUUUUCGGUUGCUAUAACUUGGUUCCGAAGACAAAGAACUGUUGCAUGAUUGAUGGAGCAAACUUUAAAAUAUUCCUUGGGGGUAAAGAAACUGAUGAGCUCCCUGGUUAUGUUUGCAGAUGCUGGUGGAAACUGUGAAGCAGCAUGCUUAUCAAAAUGUAAAAGAUUUGAUCCCUGUCGAUGCUUCGACUAUAUUUGGCCUUUCGAGGCCCUUGCCAUGUCCACAAACUGAGCAAUUCACCAGUCCAAACCCUGAUCUGCAACAAAUUCAAUUUCAGUUCACACAUCAAGGUAAAUGUUACUUUGUGUAUAAGGUAUAAUACGCUGACAAAUCUAAAGUCCCACAUCGGAAACCUGAUAAAAUAAAAUGCAGCUUAGGGAUAGUAUCGUCGUUGAUUAGUAGUAUGUGUUGGUCCGUCUCUCUAAAAUCUUAACAUUAUGGCAUGUUCUGCCUUACGUAUGCUUUUCCAAGUAACUAAAAACCAAGUAAUUUUUCACAGAUGAACUCCCAAUACAACUAGGUUUCAACCACGGAUCAGCUUCAACCUCAUCUGCCUACCAAGCAGCAGGAAGCAGCAAUCAGUUAAUGGUUUCUCUAGCACAAAGCCAACCAAUGCAACUCCGAAGCAACAGCUUUUCGGUGGGGGACUCUAACUCCGUCAUCUACAGUGGAGAAAGCAGUUCGCCGCCUUUCGGUGGUUUCCAAGCGCCAAUUCUCCCAACCGGUCAUUUAGGGACAGAAAACCUUUUCCAGGUCGAAGCAUCAACUUUGUCUCCUGCAAACCCAAUAUGGGGACAAGCAGGCGACUUCUACUUCACUUCAGGUAGCGAAGCAGAAGCUAGACGGAAAGCCAAGGCAUGCUGGUGCAAGCUUCGUGCCGCCGUUAAGUGGAUGUCGGUUAGGAGGCAUAUGACUGCAAGGCCUUCUACGUAUCUGAACUUUUUAUAAGAAAUGUAGUUUCAUCUUCCCUGUUUUAGUUUGCUAAUUACUAUUUACUAGCUGUAGAAAGCAAGCAAUUACCUAGAGGUAAAAGGGGUAAAAAUAUCUCCUAGUCCUAGAUGUGCUAAGCUUAGUAGCUCAUAGGUUUUACUUUUCUGCAGUUAAUUGAUCAUAUUGUACAUAGUGUCAAACUGAUCUAUGUAAAAUUCGGUUUUUGAAAAGAAAUACAGAAUAAAAAUUACUGCUCUAUGUAUUUUACUUAGCUGUCACUUUCACCGCAAGGAACUGCGUAAAUUUUUAUGAUCAUCGUAAAUCUAUUUGGUCAUAACAGCAUAACGUGGUGUGUACUAGUAUGUUAAAGGAAACAGGGCGAUACUAAUUUAAGAUUCUAACUAAAUAAGUAUGAAAGUGAAGCGUGAAACGUACAAUACGUUGAUCAAACUAAUGAGACUUUUGUUUGUUACGCAUUUUUAUUAGCAAUAUUUUUUUUGUCGAGCAUCGUAAAAAACGCUUUUGAUCAUUUGAAAGUAAAUAUGGGGCCAACUCCGUAUUCAAAUAGGCCUAAGAAUCCCACAAUUGAGAACCCGACAUACCUGGACCUUCAGACAAAGCCCAAUGGCAGAGAGCCGUAAUUCAAGUUAACUUCAGACCCUUUUCUGAAUAUUACAAAGAAAAUAUCUAGCCGCCCGGCGGACGGAGUCAGUUUUCGUGCACACGAAAUGAAAUUCUCGAACCUUCCCCCUCCGUACUGUAACCAGCCGAGCUGCCUCCUCACCGGGCAGCACAUCGACCUCCAAACCCACCUCCGCCCUCACGCAUUCCAAGAACUCAGCUUUGUUCACGGCUUCGCGCACGGCAGCGGUCGCGACGCAGCGGACAUGGGGUUUGCUGGUUUUGUAGGAUUUCAGGAUUUUCUGAAACUUUUUGAGGGAUUCGAGAGCAAGGAGGUGGGAGUGGUGCGAGAGGGCAAAAGGGGUUGGUGUUGAUGACGAUGAGAUGGUGUCGCGGCCGAGAACCACCGGCUCUUUGAAUUGGUCGAUGGUGAAGAAUUUGGGUAUGCUCGGACUAUGAGCAGCUUGAAGGAGUUGGUGCCCAUGUCAAUGGCUGCCAAGAGGGUUGAAAGGGUCUCUGCGUCCGGCGUAGGGGAGGCCAUUGCUGUUGGUAGCAAUUGGUAUCUGGGUUUUCAAUUUGGUGGGAAAAUUUGUACAGGUACGAACUGAGAAAAGCUUCUUCCUUUUUUGUUUGUAUUGGUUUUAAACUAUUUUUCUGAAGCUCUUUUUUUGAAGUAAUAUUGAAGCUAGUGGAUUUUUAUUUUCUUCAUGAUUUGAUAUGUCUUCUGAGUUUUGGCUAACAACAUUUGAUUAAUUUUGAUAAUUAAAUGUUAAACAACAAAAUAAUCUUUAAGCUCGUUUCAAAGUGCUUUUAUGACUCGUUUAGAAUUAUUUUUAAAAUAAUUGAAAAUGUUUUUAGCAAAAAUGUUUUUAGAUUUUAAAAACACUUAAAGUGUUUCGUACAUGAAACACAUAACUGAUGUUACAGAAAACACUUUUAAGUUUUAAGUGAUUUUUUUAAGGUUUCACUUGUAUUUUUAUUCAGCAUUGAUUUUAAAAAUAUUUUUAAACGAUUUUAGUUAUUUUAAAAGCAAAAACAAGUUUUUAAAAUGAUUAAAAGAAUGUUUAAUGAAAAUAUUUUUAAAAUCAAUUCUUACUAUGAAAGUAAAUCUUGAAACAACAUAUGAUCACUUCAAGAAGUGAUCACGUGCCUUAUGAAUUCAAAAACAUUUCAUCUAAAAACGUAUGUAGUCAUUUUAAAAGUACCUCUAAAUAAACGUUUUUUUAUACUUGAUUUGUUCUGUGACAAACAAUAAUUACAUUACUAUAGUCUACUAUGAUGAUAAAGAACAUUUGAAUUUUAGUGUAAAGCUACGCAUUGCUCAAACUAACUCGUUAUAUUUGUUUUUACAUUUUUAUAUUAUCUUUCUUUUAGAAUAUUUUUUUUAUAUCAUAUUCUUUUAGAAUUUUAAGUCAAAUCAGUAACAUAACUUCUUGUGAUUAGGAGCAUUAACAAAGUGGAUUAAAAAGUGGUUAGUCAAAAUUGAUGCCUUGCUUGCAUCAGAACUCAGAACAGUACAUAAAAAAGUCUCCCUGGGUCCGGGGACGACUUGGGGAAAGGUAAGUCUCCGGCUCCAGUUCCACAUACAUUCCCUUCCACAUACAUUCCCAGAACUUUCCCGGAAAACCAGAUUCCCGGAAAGUUUCGCAGAACCUGCAUCAUGCAAACUCCACCAACCACCAAAUCAAUCAAGUGAACUACCUUUCAAGCCUCAACAGUCUCACUCAAAGACUCAGGUUUUUUAAUCUUUUGCUUCUCUUUUCUGCUUUCUGCUCGCAAUAAAAAUCAACCCUUUACAUGUGGACAGAUAAAGAUUGUGACAUACUGAAGUUAGUGGAAGCUGCAUGCGGAUAAUUAUGAUUUCAAGUUGUUAGAUAUGGUUUCGAUAAGUCGUUAAUAACAUUGACCAAAUAUUUGAAUAACGUGACGUGUUGACAUGAUAACAUUGACAAAUAUUUGAAUAACAUGACGUGUUGACAUGUUAUCGAUGUAUCAUCGUAAUUUUAAUUAGCUGGUUUUGCAUCGAAGUUGACAUGAAAUUUCAGGUCAAAUUCCGGGAAAUGGGGUUCUGCUUAAAGUGCCACAUCUUGCUUCCAUCACUAUUAAGAAUGAUAAACAACGCGUACUUAUGGAAAAUUUGUAAUUUUCUGCAACUUCUAGCAACCUUCAUAUCAUCGAAUAGUACUCUAAACACGCUUUGUUCUUUGUUUUGUCUCUAUUCACGUGGAAUCGCUCUCUCACCCUCUCGAUAAAUUUUUCAAUGUAACCAGAAUAGGAUCUAGAACAUCAUAUGUCAUAAUACAAGUGGAGG
rnacentral:lncRNA from 1 species